rnacentral:tRNA from 1 species
GGGGAUAUAGCUCAGUUGGUAGAGUACUUGCUUAGCAUGCACAAGACCCUGGGUUCAAACCCCAGCACCA